UACGAAGGGGGCUAGCGUUGCUCGGAAUCACUGGGCGUAAAGCGCACGUAGGCGGAUCUUUAAGUCAGGGGUGAAAUCCUGGAGCUCAACUCCAGAACUGCCUUCGAUACUGGGAGUCUCGAGUCCGGGAGAGGUGAGUGGAACUGCGAGUGUAGAGGUGAAAUUCGUAGAUAUUCGCAAGAACACCAGUGGCGAAGGCGGCUCACUGGCCCGGUACUGACGCUGAGGUGCGAAAGCGUGGGGAGCAAACAGGG
rnacentral:rRNA from 1 species